rnacentral:tRNA from 1 species
GCGGACGUACCCAAGUGGCUCAAGGGGCUCCCCUGCUAAGGGAGUAGGGCGGGAAACUGCCGCGCGAGUUCAAAUCUCGCCAUCCGCGCCA